CCUACGGGAGGCAGCAGUAGGGAAUUUUUCACAAUGGGCGAAAGCCUGAUGGAGCAACGCCGCGUGCAGGAUGAAGGCCUUCGGGUUGUAAACUGCUUUUAUAAGCGAGAAAUAUGAUGGUAACUUAUGAAUAAGGAUCGGCUAACUACGUGCCAGCAGCCGCGGUCAUACGUAGGAUCCGAGCAUUAUCCGGAGUGACUGGGUGUAAAGAGUUGCGUAGGUGGCAUAAUAAGUAGCUAGUGAAAUCUGGUGGCUCAACCAUUCAGACUAUUAGCUAAACUGUUAAGCUCGAGACCGUUAAGGGUAACUGGAAUUUCUAGUGUAGGAGUGAAAUCCGUAGAUAUUAGAAGGAACACCAAUAGCGUAGGCAGGUUGCUGGGACGGUUCUGACACUAAGGCACGAAAGCGUAGGGAGCAAACGGGAUUAGAUACCCCAGUAGUC
rnacentral:rRNA from 1 species